GAGCGGAUGACGGGAGCUUGCUCCUUGAUUCAGCGGCGGACGGGUGAGUAAUGCCUAGGAAUCUGCCUGGUAGUGGGGGACAACGUUUCGAAAGGAACGCUAAUACCGCAUACGUCCUACGGGAGAAAGCAGGGGACCUUCGGGCCUUGCGCCAUCAGAUGAGCCUAGGUCGGAUUAGCUAGUUGGUGGGGUAAUGGCUCACCAAGGCGACGAUCCGUAACUGGUCUGAGAGGAUGAUCAGUCACACUGGAACUGAGACACGGUCCAGACUCCUACGGGAGGCAGCAGUGGGGAAUAUUGGACAAUGGGCGAAAGCCUGAUCCAGCCAUGCCGCGUGUGUGAAGAAGGUCUUCGGAUUGUAAAGCACUUUAAGUUGGGAGGAAGGGCAGUAAGUUAAUACCUUGCUGUUUUGACGUUACCGACAGAAUAAGCACCGGCUAACUCCGUG
rnacentral:rRNA from 1 species